ACGGAGGAUGCAAGCGUUAUCCGGAAUGAUUGGGCGUAAAGGGUCCGCAGGUGGCAUUGUAAGUCUGCUGUUAAAGAGUUUGGCUCAACCAAAUAAAAGCAGUGGAAACUACAAAGCUAGAGUUUGGUCGGGGCAGAGGGAAUUCCUGGUGUAGCGGUGAAAUGCGUAGAUAUCAGGAAGAACACCAGUGGCGAAGGCGCUCUGCUAGGCCGAGACUGACACUGAGGGACGAAAGCUAGGGGAGCGAAUGGGAUUAGAUACCCCAGUAGUCCUAGCCGUAAACGAUGGAUACUAGGCGUAGCUCGUAUCGACCCGAGCUGUGCCGGAGCUAACGCGUUAAGUAUCCCGCCUGGGGAGUACGCAGGCAACUGUG
rnacentral:rRNA from 1 species